rnacentral:rRNA from 1 species
AGUGAACGCUGGCGGCGUGCUUAACACAUGCAAGUCGAACGAGAACGGGCUAUAGCUUGCUAUAGUUGUCAGCUAAGUGGCGCACGGGUGAGUAAUGUAUAGGUAAUAUGCCUCUUACUAAGGGAUAACAAAUGGAAACGUUUGCUAAUACCUUAUACUCCUUAUUAACAGAAGGUAAAAAGGGAAAGAUUUAUUGGUAAGAGAUUAGCCUGUAUUGUAUCAGUUAGUUGGUGGGGUAAUGGCUUACCAAGACUAUGACACAUAACUGGUUUGAGAGGAUGAUCAGUCACACUGGAGCUGAGACACGGUCCAGACUCCUACGGGAGGCAGCAGUGGGGAAUAUUGCACAAUGGACGAAAGUCUGAUGCAGCAACGCCGCGUGGAGGAUGACACAUUUCGGUGCGUAAACUCCUUUUAUAUGAGAAGAUAAUGACGGUAUUAUAUGAAUAAGCACCGGCUAACUCUGUGCCAGCCGCCGCGGUAA